AGUUAAAAAGCUCGUAGUUGGAUUYCUGGCAGGAGCGACGGGUCGUGCACUCCGUGCAUGUACUUGGUUGUCUCUGGCCAUCCUUGGGGAGAUCCUGUUUGGCAUUAAGUUGUCGGGCAGGGAAUACCCAUCGUUUACUGUGAAAAAAUUAGGGUGUUUAAAGCAGGCUUAUGCCGUUGAAUAUAUUAGCAUGGAAUAAUAAGAUAGGACUUUGGACCUACUUGUUGGUUUGCGUUACAAAGUAAUGAUUAAUAGGGACAGUUGGGGGUAUUCGUAUUUCGUUGUCAGAGGUGAAAUUCUUKGAUUUCCGAAAGACGAACUACUGCGAAAGCAUUUACC
rnacentral:rRNA from 1 species